rnacentral:rRNA from 1 species
GACCCGUCUUGAAACACGGACCAAGGAGUCUAGCAUAUAUGCGAGUGUGCUGGUUAAAAACCGAUACGCGAAACGAAAGUGAGAUGUGCUAAGCGCAAGCUUCAGCACAGGCCGACACUAGGCUAUAGCCUAGAGAUUGCGCAAGAGCAUAUCUGUUAGGACCCGAAAGAUGGUGAACUAUGCCUGUGCAGGGAGAAGCCAGGGGAAACCCUGGUGGAGGCUCGUAGCGAUACUGACGUGCAAAUCGUUCGUCUAACAUGGGUAUAGGGGCGAAAGACCAAUCGAACUAUCUAGUAGCUGGUUCCUUCCGAAGUUUCCCUCAGGAUAGCUGGAACCAUAUCGCAGUUGCACACGGUAAAGCGAAUGAUUAGAGGUCUCAGGGUUGUAACAAUCUUGACCUAUUCUCAAACUUUAAAUGGGUGCGAACUCUCUGUUUUCUUAAUUGAACGGGGAGGUUGAAUGCAGGUUCUUAGUGGGCCGUUUUUGGUAAGCAGAACUGGCGAUGAGGGAUGAACCUAACGCUGAGUUAAGGUGCCCAACUAUACGCUCAUAAGACACCACAAAAGGUGUUGAUUUAUUUAGACAGCAGGACGGUGGCCAUAGAAGUCGGCAUCCGCUAAGGAGUGUGU